AUUGAACGCUGGCGGCAUGCCUAACACAUGCAAGUCGAACGGAGAGGCGGACGCGGACGUGAUGCCUAGGAAUCUGCAUGGGAGUGGGGGAUAACGUCCAGUAACGGACGCUAAUGCCGCAUAAUAUCAAAUGAGCCUAGGUCGGAUUAGCUAGUUGGUGGGGUAAAGGCCUACCAAGGCGACGAUCCGUAGCUGGUCUGAGAGGAGGAUCAGUCACACUGGGACUGAGACACGGUCCAGACUCCUACGGGAGGCAGCAGUGGGGAAUAUUGGACAAUGGGCGAAAGCCUGAUCCAGCCAUGCCGCGUGUGUGAAGAAGGUCUUCGGAUUGUAAAGCACUUUUAGUUGGGAGGCGUUACCAACAGAAUAAGCACCGGCUAACUACGUGCCAGCAGCCGCGGUAAUUC
rnacentral:rRNA from 1 species